AAGUACAGCCGUUCACCCGGAAAGCACCCGAUCUCAUCAGACCUCAGAAGUUAAGCAGGGUUUAGCCUGAAUAGUGCUUGAAUGGGUGGCCACCAUGUAUAUAUGCAUGUUGAACUUC
rnacentral:rRNA from 1 species